rnacentral:rRNA from 1 species
GUGGGGAAUAUUGGACAAUGGGCGAAAGCCUGAUCCAGCCAUGCCGCGUGUGUGAAGAAGGUCUUCGGAUUGUAAAGCACUUUAAGUUGGGAGGAAGGGCAGUAAGUUAAUACCUUGCUGUUUUGACGUUACCAACAGAAUAAGCACCGGCUAACUUCGUGCCAGCAGCCGCGGUAAUACGAAGGGUGCAAGCGUUAAUCGGAAUUACUGGGCGUAAAGCGUGCGCAGGCGGUGCUGUAAGACAGGCGUGAAAUCCCCGGGCUCAACCUGGGAAUUGCGCUUGUGACUGCAGUGCUGGAGUGCGGUAGAGGGUAGUGGAAUUUCCUGUGUAGCGGUGAAAUGCGUAGAUAUAGGAAGGAACACCAGUGGCGAAGGCGACUACCUGGACUGAUACUGACACUGAGGUGCGAAAGCGUGGGGAGCAAACAGGAUUAGAUACCCCAGUAGUCC